rnacentral:rRNA from 1 species
UACGGAGGUGGCAAGCGUUGCUCGGAAUCACUGGGCGUAAAGCGCACGUAGGCGGACUCUUAAGUCGGUGGUGAAAUCCUGGAGCUCAACUCCAGAACUGCCUUCGAUACUGAGAGUCUCGAGUCCGGGAGAGGUGAGUGGAACUGCGAGUGUAGAGGUGAAAUUCGUAGAUAUUCGCAAGAACACCAGUGGCGAAGGCGGCUCACUGGCCCGGUACUGACGCUGAGGAGCGAAAGCGUGGGGAGCGAACAGG